GUGGGCUGCAAUGAACCAACCGAAAUGUAGACCAAGGGGACCCCAGUGACGUGGACAGAUUACAUCCUCAGGAAUUGGUUACUUUGUGUUGACCGUGAACUGACCGUUAACUGUAAAUGUUUUGCCGUCAUGGUGAAACAAGCGGGGGCUAAUGGUAUUUUGGCAUCUGGGAUGAGGUUUACAGCUGGGUUGGCGGGCAUCCUCUUCAUCAAAACCAUGAAAACUUUGUCUGGUUUGGGCGUUUGGCAGCUCCUCCCCUCCCCUGGGCUUCAGACGGGUCAGAAGUGAAUUACGAGUCAGACCAAUAUGCAAAUCGAGCGACCUCCCCUUGCCCUUGCAUGCAAUGAUGUGGUGAACCUCCUCUCGAUCAUUCUAAUUCAGUGCUCUCCAGAGAGCAAUUUCGUCGAUACACGGGAUGGUCCGGAAUCCCCAAAAUCUCCAAUAGCAAAGUCUCCAUCCCAGAACUCUCUUCGUAAUGCUAGUCUUGUUGCCAAAAGGAAAAUGUUUGCUGUGUCCCUGGUUGGAAGGUCCAGUUUCCAGAAGCUUUUGGAGCCAAAUUAAGCCCCCACUCAGAGAUCUGCAAUUACUCCUUAUAGAAUUAUUCUUGAUAAUAUAAAAGACAAGAUAUGUUUCCAAAUGAUACCAAACUUAGUAAGAAUGCUUGUCCUCUUUAAAUUGAGACAGUUCUUGGAGACUUCUCCCUGUUCAUUGCUUACAUCAGAUUUGUAUUAUCACUUUUCCAGCCAAGAAAAUUGGUAUCAGAGCCCAGGUGGUGAUCUAAUUAGCUGAGCUGUGUUUUCUUUAAAAUUGGACAUUCCAAGACUUUCUCCAAACAAGUUUCGUCCAAAACAAAAUAAGUUUGAACUCCUAGCUCCUUCGGUCCUUCCCAAAGAAAAAUCAGUUAGCUGGAAUUUUGCAAAAACUGCCCUGCAGCAUAGCCCUCUUCGCAAUCAUGUGGAUCAGGGAUCCUAGCUGAUGGUGGCCUUGAUGAUUUGAUCCAAAGAGUUGCUACCUUUGGGAUGGUAUUAAUGAAAGCUCGACUUGCGUCAGGUGUGCUUUUAUUUUAUUGUAGAAGACGUUGCUACCCCAGGCUGAGCUUGGCUUCCUCACAUAGGAAGCUGCCCCUCAAGAAGAAAGAGCUCUAAUGGAAUUGGACAUCUUCGGGCAGUUCCAUGGGUGUUUGCAUGGACUCAAACCAGAUUUGUCUUCCAGCUUUGCUUGGAGUUAAACCCCUUGUUGAUCUUUUUGUGAGAGCAUCAAACACACCAGCCAUAAAGGUGUAUGAGAAGUUUAUACAUCAGAUGCAUCCCAACAUGGAUUGAUUCCAAUUCCUUCAUGACACUACAUUUUCCUCUUCUGAAGUUCUGAUGUAUAUCAAGGGCAGAGCAACAAUAAGAGAUCUCAAGUACCUGCAACAAAAGCAAAAGAAAUUAUUGUAUCAAUUCCAGUACAUGAAUGCUUCAACUAAUAACUAAAUCACAAUUUAUCAUUU